rnacentral:rRNA from 1 species
GUCGAGCGGUAGCACAAGAGAGCUUGCUCUCUGGGUGACGAGCGGCGGACGGGUGAGUAAUGUCUGGGAAACUGCCUGAUGGAGGGGGAUAACUACUGGAAACGGUAGCUAAUACCGCAUGACGUCUUCGGACCAAAGUGGGGGACCUUCGGGCCUCACGCCAUCAGAUGUGCCCAGAUGGGAUUAGCUAGUAGGUGGGGUAAUGGCUCACCUAGGCGACGAUCUCUAGCUGGUCUGAGAGGAUGACCAGCCACACUGGAACUGAGACACGGUCCAGACUCCUACGGGAGGCAGCAGUGGGGAAUAUUGCACAAUGGGCGCAAGCCUGAUGCAGCCAUGCCGCGUGUAUGAAGAAGGCCUUCGGGUUGUAAAGUACUUUCAGCGAGGAGGAAGGCAUUAAGGUUAAUAACCUUGGUGAUUGACGUUACUCGCAGAAGAAGCACCGGCUAACUCCGUGCCAGCAGCCGCGGUAAUACGGAGGGUGCAAGCGUUAAUCGGAAUUACUGGGCGUAAAGCGCACGCAG